rnacentral:rRNA from 1 species
UGGAGCUGAAAUCAGUCGAAGAUACCAGCUGGCUGCAACUGUUUAUUAAAAACACAGCACUGUGCAAACACGAAAGUGGACGUAUACGGUGUGACGCCUGCCCGGUGCCGGAAGGUUAAUUGAUGGGGUCAGCGCAAGCGAAGCUCUUGAUCGAAGCCCCGGUAAACGGCGGCCGUAACUAUAACGGUCCUAAGGUAGCGAAAUUCCUUGUCGGGUAAGUUCCGACCUGCACGAAUGGCGUAAUGAUGGCCAGGCUGUCUCCACCCGAGACUCAGUGAAAUUGAACUCGCUGUGAAGAUGCAGUGUACCCGCGGCAAGACGGAAAGACCCCGUGAACCUUUACUAUAGCUUGACACUGAACAUUGAGCCUUGAUGUGUAGGAUAGGUGGGAGGCUUAGAAGUGUGGACGCCAGUCUGCAUGGAGCCGGCCUUGAAAUACCACCCUUUAAUGUUUGAUGUUCUAACGUGGACCCGUAAUCCGGGUUGCGGACAGUGUCUGGUGGGUAGUUUGACUGGGGCGGUCUCCUCCUAAAGAGUAACGGAGGAGCACGAAGGUUGGCUAAUCCUGGUCGGACAUCAGGAGGUUAGUGCAAUGGCAUAAGCCAGCUUGACUGCGAGCGUGACGGCGCGAGCAGGUGCGAAAGCAGGUCAUAGUGAUCCGGUGGUUCUGAAUGGAAGGGCCAUCGCUCAACGGAUAAAAGGUACUCCGGGGAUAACAGGCUGAUACCGCCCAAGAGUUCAUAUCGACGGCGGUGUUUGGCACCUCGAUGUCGGCUCAUCACAUCCUGGGGCUGAAGUAGGUCCCAAGGGUAUGGCUGUUCGCCAUUUAAAGUGGUACGCGAGCUGGGUUUAGAACGUCGUGAGACAGUUCGGUCCCUAUCUGCCGUGGGCGCUGGAGAACUGAGGGGGGCUGCUCCUAGUACGAGAGGACCGGAGUGGACGCAUCACUGGUGUUCGGGUUGUCAUGCCAAUGGCACUGCCCGGUAGCUAAAUGCGGAAGAGAUAAGUGCUGAAAGCAUCUAAGCACGAAACUUGCCCCGAGAUGAGUUCUCCCUGACCCUUUAAGGGUCCUGAAGGAACGUUGAAGACGACGACGUUGAUAGGCCGGGUGUGUAAGCGCAGCGAUGCGUUGAGCUAACCGGUACUAAUGAACCGUGAGGCUUAACCUU